rnacentral:misc_RNA from 1 species
GUGAAGAACGUAGCAAAAUGCGAUAAGUAAUGUGAAUUGCAGAAUUCAGUGAAUCAUCGAGUCUUUGAACGCACAUUGCGCCCCCUGGUAUUCCGGGGGGCAUGCCUGUCCGAGCGUCAUUGCUGCCCUCAAGCACGGCUUGUGUGUUGGGCCUCCGUCCUCCUCCCGGGGGACGGGCCCGAAAGGCAGCGGCGGCACCGCGUCCGGUCCUCGAGCGUAUGGGGCUUCGUCACCCGCUCUUGUAGGCCCGGCCGGCGCUUGCCGACACAUCAAUCUUUUUUCCAGGUUGACCUCGGAUCAGGUAGGGAUACCCGCUGAACUUAAGCAUAUCAAUAAGCGGAGGA